AACGCCGCGUGAGGGACGACGGCCUUCGGGUUGUAAACCUCUUUUAGUAGGGAAGAAGCGAUGUGCUUGUCACAUCAUGACGGUACCUGCAGAAAAAGCACCGGCUAACUACGUGCCAGCAGCCGCGGUAAUACGUAGGGUGCAAGCGUUAUCCGGAAUUAUUGGGCGUAAAGAGCUCGUAGGCGGUUUGUCGCGUCUGCUGUGAAAACUGGAGGCUCAACCUCCAGCCUGCAGUGGGUACGGGCAGACUAGAGUGCGGUAGGGGAGAUUGGAAUUCCUGGUGUAGCGGUUUUUUGCUCAGAUAUCAGGAGGAACACCAAUGGCGAAGGCAGAUCUCUGGGCCGUAACUGAUUUUUUUUUAGCGAAAGCAUGGGGAGCGAACAGGAUUACAUACCCUGGUAGUCCAUGCCGUAAACGUUGGGAACUAGAUGUACGGACCAUUCCACGGUUUCUGUGUCGCAGCUAACGC
rnacentral:rRNA from 1 species